AUGUGUCUAUCUGUAUGGCUGUACUCAUCUCAUGUAGGAAUGGGAGGUGACUCACAUGAGUGCAUCAUUGCCUUCCCGGAGAAAAGAUCACAGAACCGAAGAAGGAUGAGGGGUGGAAGGGCCCUCUGGAGGCCAUCUGCUCCAAGCCCCCUGCUCAAGCAGGGACACCUACAACAGGUUGAUCAAGAUCAAGAACUGCCUCCUGACACACAGGAGUGGAGCCUCAUUUGUUUUGCCUCGUCUUCUCAACCCAGAUUUAUCAGUAGUCUGGCGACCCUCAGAGACUAUUUGAGAAGUGGUACAGUUUUGGCAAGGGCUAAAUUCUAGCAGAAGACUCUUUGAAACUUGCUGUAAAUCUCUCUGUUCUGUUGCUCUACAGACCCCGCUUCACCAUCUGCCUUGCGAAUUGCAUUUUUGUUGCGGUAUUUCACAAGUUUUAAAAUAUGGUUAUUACGAUCCAUAAACUGGCUUUCACAGAGAUUAUUAAUUAAGUCCAAAAUAUUGAACCGACGUGCUUUGUGAAAUAUAGCUCAAACGUCACUGCACUGCUGCCAUAAUAACCCAUCUGCAUAAUAUUAGAUUGGAGCACUGAGAAGCUGUAAGUUUUCUGUUUGUUGCAGGGGGGAGGUUUGUUUUGUUUUCCCUUGUAGCAGUCCAAGAAGUAAAACCUGGAGCCUUAAAGUCAGGUGGAUGAGAUAAAUUGAAACGGAUCUUAUUGCUCCCAAACACUCUCCUGGAAAUAAUGGCAUCUUGACAUUUUAUCAGUCACUCAUGCGGUCAUUCUCAGCGGUAUCAGCCAGAGCUUGAAGGAUAGAGCCGUAAAGAAAGGAUUGUCAGCCAUAAACAUUUCUCAAAACCAUGAAAGCCACAAAUGAAAGCUUAAGUAAUGGAGGACGGAAUACCCUUGAUAUUUCAACAAUUACCUGCAACAACAGGCUUUGUUCAGAGCCCUGGCCAUUUUUUCAAAAGCCUUUAGUUGUCAUGGCCAGAAUAGGAUAGGGAAAAAAAAAAAAAGAAAAGGGGGAAAAAGAAAAAAAGAGAAAAAGAGAAGGAUCAAAAGCUGUGAUGUGAAAGGAUAAACAUGGGUGGCUGCACAUAUGAGGAAGUUUAUGGAAAAUUUUCAUUUUUUUUAAAUCACAAUUUACUGCCAGAUAUUAGAAUUAUUAGGCUUGUACUGAGAUAUGUUUCCCCUUUUCUCCAAGAGAUCAUUAGAAAGACAUUCAUGCUGCUGAUCUGUUACUUCUGUGGCCAUUUCUAAUGUCAAAUUACGGAGGAAAAAAAUGAUACUUGCAAGCACAUGGCAAUUGAAGGAGCUUCAGUAACAGAUGGAAGUGAGCAAGUGGAAAGCAAAAGUGAAUUCAACUUCCUUACACUUUGGAAAGAUAUUAUACUUAGUGGAGGACAAAAAAAGAAGGAAAGCUAAUUUUACAUAGCCUUUGUGCCAUUAUUUUGGCAAUUUAGAGCUCAGGGAACCUAAGUAAAAUGUAGUGCUUGGUAUCCAAGUCAACCCAAACUCUGGAGGCAGUAAACAUGAAAGGUUAAAUGCUCUAGAAAUUGCAUUUGUAGAGUUUCUCAACUUAGGAGAUUAAUAGUUACUCAAAGCAAUGGAUAAAUAUUAGCAAAGGACCAUUAGCAGAGAAAAACACAUCAGUGAAUCAGAGCUCCCCAGCUUAUCAGAUCAAUUUUAAAUAGGUUUAUCUUGGACUUUUCCAGCACCUUAAUGAGAAACAAAUUGUUUUUUACCCCUUUUUGUUUCUUGAGCCUUUGUUGACUUUUUGAUGUUUCCUACAACCAACCAUUAAAAUAAAUGGGUCAGUGGCAUAAGUAUAUUAAUUCCC
ensembl:lncRNA